rnacentral:rRNA from 1 species
ACAGGGAGGACAGGUGGUGCAUGGUUGUCGUCAGCUCGUGUCGUGAGAUGUUGGGUUAAGUCCCGCAACGAGCGCAACCCCUACGUUUAGUUGCUAACGCGUGAAGGCGAGCACUCUAGACGAACUGCCGUUGACAAAACGGAGGAAGGUGGGGAUGACGUCAAAUCAUCAUGCCCCUUAUGUUCUGGGCUACACACGUGCUACAAUGGCCGGUACAGACGGACGCAAAGCCGCGAGGUGGAGCAAAUCCUAAAAAGCCGGUCUCAGGUCGGAUUGCAGGCUGCAAUUCGCCUGCAUGAAGUCGGAAUCGCUAGUAAUCGCAGGUCAGCAUACUGCGGUGAAUACGUUCCCGGGCCUU